AUGGUGGUGCAAAGCGUUAGCAGGCAGCAAGGAGGUGCUGGACUUAACCUCGAGGCGAUCAAAAGAAUGAUUGCCGAAGGGGUAAAAUCUCAGUUGGUGCAAACUCAAUAUUCCAUGCGGCCAUGGUAUGUUAAACCGUACCCACCUGAUGUAGAUAUGGUUCCCUUCCCAACUAAUUACAGGCAGGCACAGUUUAGCAAGUUUAAUGGGAGUGGAUCUCCUCAUGAACACAUAGCCCACUUUCUCGCAGCUUGUCAGGAUACAACUCAUAAUGAAUCAUUCCUCCUCAGGCAGUUCGUGCAGGCAUUGUCUGGUCCCGCCUUCACUUGGUAA
rnacentral:rRNA from 1 species